UCAAAUUGCUCUCCUUGUCUGCCUCCUCCUUUAGAGAAACAUCUCUAUCAGAGCACUCACAAAACACCAAUCCCCCACACUUUCAACCUCACAAAGAAUCCCAUAACAACAAUUACAGUGCUCGUCUCACCUUCUUCUUCAUCAUCAACAUAAGCGACCGAAUUAAUGACCCCAAUCCUCUUCCUCCUUCUCCUUCUCUCACUAUUUCAUCUCACCCCUUUCUCCUGACCCUCCUGUCCGGUCUGUUUCUCUGGCUCACCACAAACUAAGCCUCUCGCAACCCUAAAAGCUUCAGACGUAGAACCAUGUCUUUGGACGACUCUCUAAGAUCUCUAUCCAUGGACUAUCUUAACCUGCUCAUCAACGGUCAAGCCUUCAGCGACGUCACUUUCAGCGUGGAGGGUCGACUGGUUCACGCCCACCGCUGCAUCCUGGCGGCUCGAAGCCUCUUCUUCAGGAAAUUCUUCUGCGGCCCAGACCCACCGUCUGGUCUGGACCCUGCCUCAGGCUCGCGGGUCAACUCCGCUAACUCUACAUCGAGGCCCGGGGUCAUUCCGGUGAACUCGGUGGGCUAUGAAGUGUUUCUGCUUCUGCUUCAGUUCUUGUACAGUGGCCAAGUCUCUAUUGUGCCUCAGAAGCACGAGCCCAGGCCUAAUUGCGGCGAAAGGGGUUGUUGGCACACGCAUUGCACCUCCGCCGUUGAUCUCGCCCUUGAUACUCUCGCUGCCGCUAGAUCUUUUGGCGUUGAGCAGCUCGCAUUGCUCACUCAGAAACAAUUAGCCAGCAUGGUAGAGAAGGCCUCCAUUGAAGACGUGAUGAAAGUGCUCCUAGCUUCAAGAAAGCAAGACAUGCACCAACUCUGGACCACUUGUUCACAUCUCGUUGCCAAGUCCGGUCUCCCUCCUGAUGUGCUCGCCAAACACCUUCCCCUCGAUGUUGUUGCUAAAAUCGAAGAGCUCCGUGUCAAAACCUCCCUCGUCCGCCGCUCCCUAGUCCUCCACCACCACCCUCACCACCAUCACGACCAUAUCAGCGCCACCGCGGAUCUUGAGGACCAGAAAAUCCGCAGAAUGAGAAGGGCGCUUGACUCCUCCGACGUCGAACUCGUGAAGCUCAUGGUCAUGGGAGAAGGCUUAAAUCUAGAUGAAGCACUGGCCUUGCACUACGCCGUAGAGAAUUGCAGCCGGGAAGUCGUCAAGGCCUUGUUGGAGCUGGGUGCAGCCGACGUCAACUACCCCGCAGGACCCGCCGGCAAGACCCCACUUCACCUUGCGGCCGAGAUGGUGUCACCGGACAUGGUGGCGGUCCUCCUUGACCACCACGCCGACCCGAACGUCCGGACCGUAGAAGGGGUGACUCCUCUUGACAUCCUGAGAACCCUAACUUCUGAUUUUCUGUUCAAAGGAGCCGUCCCUGGGCUUGCCCAUAUUGAGCCAAACAAAUUGAGGCUGUGCUUGGAGCUGGUUCAAUCCGCAGCUCUCGUACUGUCGCGCGAGGAAGGCAACGUGAAUCCUCCUUCUUCAACGGCCAUUUAUCCCCCAAUGAACGAAGACCAUAACAGCAGUAGUAGCAACAGCAAUAUUGCGAACCUUAAUCUGGACACCAGGUUGGUUUACCUGAAUCUGGGAGCGACGUCGUCGUCGGGGCAAAUGGGUUCCAGAUUGGAGGGCGACAAGGAUAGCAGCCACAAUAGCCAGAACCGUCAUAGCUCGCAAGGUGGAUCAUGCGACCCAGCAAUGUACCACCAACCUCAUGACUAUAAUUAAGCUCAGAUAAAUCACUACUGAUACAUAUAAAAGAUAUAUAUAUAUAUAUAUAUGAAAUUGCACAUGGAUGAUUAAUUGAAAGGAGACAAGUAGGAGGAGGUUGGCUUAUAUGGAUAACGAGCGCUACUAUUCUGGAUGGAUAUUGGCGAUAUAAAUUUCUUUCUUUUUUUUUUGAAAAAAUUGUCACUUGAAAAUAGUUUUAGUAAACGCGCACGUAGAUGACUGGUCUUUUGCUUUUGCUUUCAUGGAUCCGUGGUUCGUUUGGGCGUAUGUUUUGGUGUUUUUUGUAGGAGGCAUUUCAAGGGUCACCAUUGGAAGUGGCGUUUCAUAGGAGAUCGAUAUGGGAUGAGAGUCAGAGGCACGGAGAAUCUGAUCAGUUUUUGCUGUAAGAGAAAAAAGGAAAACUUUCAUUCAACGAAUGAGUAAAAAAUAAUUACAAUAAGAUCCCCAAGGACCCAACAAUUAGCUCCGGUGAUUCACCGCCUCCAAAUCAAAGGCAUUAACAACGUUGACAACUGUUCCUGGUCAAUGGGAUCUGAAACACACACAGACACAUCAAUUGAUGAUCUGAGUUUUAGGAGCAACCCUAGGAGUGGCGAGAUGGUGAAACUUAUCAAUAAUGGAAAGCGCAUCUAUUGUAGCCCUUUCUUCCAAAGGCUUGUCUCUUUCACACUCUUUUUUAAACUGGCUAUUGCUGAUAUAGUUGUGGAAUAUUUAUACUCUGGUCUUGCAUAUACUUGAUUAGAAACUUGACCUAUAUUCCAUGAGAGGGACUUCCUAUUAUCCAUUAUGGAUUCUAUAUAGUCAUGAUUCUUUCUAGAGACCUGCUGUGCAUUAUACAUUUUCUUCCAUGAUUAAGGAUAGGUACAGAUGAUCAAUAAUGGAUACAUUGGUCAAUAUUGCCAUUCAUGGAAGUUUCUUUAGCACACCCCCUUACCUUACCUUGCUAGAUCUUUUGGGCAUAAUUGUACUUUCCUUAUAAUUUGAGUAUCUCUUGUUCCUUGAA